CAUCACUACGCUAGAUGCAUAUCAAUAAGCGGAGGAAAAGAAACUAACAAGGAUUCCCCUAGUAACGGCGAGUGAAGCGGGAAGAGCUCAAAUUUGAAAUCUUAAAAGGUUUUCCUUUUACGAAUUGUAGUUUAAAGAAGUGUUUUCUGUUGAAGUUUUGGUACAAGUUCUUUGGAAUAGGACAUCAUAGAGGGUGAGAAUCCCGUAUUUGACCUUAAUUUUUCAACUUUGUGAUACACUUUCAAAGAGUCGGAUUGUUUGGGAAUGACAGUCCAAAAUGGGUGGUAAAUUUCAUCUAAGGCUAAAUAUUGGCGAGAGACCGAUAGCGAACAAGUACCGUGAGGGAAAGAGAUGAAAAGAACUUUGAAAAGAGAGUUAAAUAGUACGUGAAAUUGUCAAAAGGGAAGCGUUUGGCACCAGUGUUGUUUUUCUAAAAAUCAAUUUAAAAUUUGCUUAUGUUAAGUGUUUUUAGACUUAAUCGGCUAUACAUUUAAUUCUUUGUAAAUUUUGAAUGCACUUUUUAGUUAACAAGUCAACAUCAAUUUUUUUUGCUGUAAAAAAGUAAGAGGAAGGUGGCUUGGGAUUCGCUUUCAAGUGUUUAUAGCCUCUUGCCCAUGCAGUAGGAGAGAUUGAGGUCUGCAGCAUAGAUCCUUCGGGGCUAGAUGCUUUUGUGCUAGAAGCUAGUAUUAUAUAGACAACUUGUUGAUUAUGUAAUAUAUUAGUUUCUACUCGCUUAAGUUAUUUUACCUACGCUUAGGAUGUUGACUGAUAUGUAGUCGUA
rnacentral:rRNA from 1 species